GGGGCUAUAGCUCAGCUGGGAGAGCGCUUGCAUGGCAUGCAAGAGGGCGACGGUUCGAUCCCGUCUAGCUCCACCA
rnacentral:tRNA from 1 species